UGAGUUUAUAUCGCAAAGCAGAGCAAGAGAGUUCGUCCUUCGGGACAUCCGAUAAAAUUGGAACGAUACAGAGAAGAUUAGCAUGGCCCCUGCGCAAGGAUGACACGCAUAAAUCGAGAAAUGGUCCAAAUUUUUUUUUUCCUUCAAAAUCAAUUAAGCCUUUGUUUCCUGGUGAAAGUGGAGUUGACCAACUAGUUGAGAUCAUCAAGGUUUCGGGAACUCCAACCAGGGAGGAGAUAGAGUUCAUGAAUAUAUCCAAAUUAUACUGAAUUUAAGUUUCCACUGAUAAAUGUCUCUUCCAUUUUCCUUAUUCAUUAUACUUAGAAAAGAGACUUUAUAAGCCCUUGAAUUAAGGUCAGUCAGUACCUCAAGCUAGCCCACACACAGUGAUAGCAUUACCGAGCAUAGAGGCUCAGCCAGGAUCCCCAAACUAAUCUCCGGCCCCAUACUCGACGCCACUUCAAGGAUAUAACCUUAAAUUGCGGGUUAUGCUUAGGUGGCUAUGUAUACUUACA